AAUAAAUAAACUGGCAGGUAUAGCUAGUCUGAGACACAGCUGGGAUAUUUUUACCUAACCUUCAUAAUUCGAUUUUCACUUUGCUACUAUUUCAUAUUUUAAUGGCUAAACAUCCUGGUAAGACUGUGAGCUGGGAAUUCCCUCGGUCCGAUCUCUGAUGUUUGCACUGUUAGGAAACAUACAAUAAGAAUUAAAAGUCACGGUUUGGACUUUUUUGUUCUCCUGUGUAAAAGCCAAUUAGUUGCCUUUAUGCAGGCCAUACAGACACAAAUGGCGAACGAGACUGCACCAUUACUUGAAAUGCUGAUGUAGAAUUUCUAUAAAUCUGGACUGUAUGCUCAGCGAGAGGAACCUG